rnacentral:rRNA from 1 species
AUCGGUACGGGUUGUGGGAGCAAGAGCCCGGAGAUGGAUUCUGAGACACGAAUCCAGGCCCUACGGGGCGCAGCAGGCGCGAAAACUUUACAAUGCGAGAAAUCGUGAUAAGGGAACCCCGAGUGCCCGUAAAUUCGGGCUGUCCGCCAGUGCAAAAAACUGGUGAAGAAAGAGCCGGGCAAGACCGGUGCCAGCCGCCGCGGUAAUACCGGCGGCUCGAGUGGUGGCCACUAUUACUGGGCUUAAAGCGUCCGUAGCUUGGUUGUUAAGUCUCCUGGGAAAUCCAUCGGCUCAACCGAUGGGCGUUCAGGAGAUACUGGCAACCUAGGGACCGGGAGAGGUGAGAGGUACUCCAGGGGUAGGAGUGAAAUCCUGUAAUCCUUGGGGGACCACCUGUGGCGAAGGCGUCUCACUAGAACGGCUCCGACAGUGAGGGACGAAAGCUGGGGGAGCAAACCGGAUUAGAUACCCGGGUAGUCCCAGCUGUAAACGAUGCGCGUUAGGUG